AUUGAACGCUGGCGGCAUGCCUUACACAUGCAAGUCGAACGGUAACGCGGGGCAACCUGGCGACGAGUGGCGAACGGGUGAGUAAUACAUCGGAACGUGCCCAGUAGUGGGGGAUAGCCCGGCGAAAGCCGGAUUAAUACCGCAUACGACCUACGGGUGAAAGCAGGGGAUCGCAAGACCUUGCGCUAUUGGAGCGGCCGAUGUCAGAUUAGGUUGUUGGUGGGGGUAAAAGCCUACCAAGCCGACGAUCUGUAGCUGGUCUGAGAGGACGACCAGCCACACUGGGACUGAGACACGGCCCAGACUCCUACGGGAGGCAGCAGUGGGGAAUUUUGGACAAUGGGCGCAAGCCUGAUCCAGCCAUGCCGCGUGAGUGAAGAAGGCCU
rnacentral:rRNA from 1 species